rnacentral:rRNA from 1 species
UACGUAGGGUGCGAGCGUUAAUCGGAAUUACUGGGCGUAAAGCGUGCGCAGGCGGUUAUGCAAGACAAAUGUGAAAUCCCCGGGCUUAACCUGGGAACCGCAUUUGUGACUGCAUAGCUGGAGUACGGCAGAGGGGGAUGGAAUUCCGCGUGUAGCAGUGAAAUGCGUAGAUAUGCGGAGGAACACCGAUGGCGAAGGCAGUCCCCUGGGCCUGUACUGACGCUCAUGCACGAAAGCGUGGGGAGCAAACAGG